GAUGAACGCUGGCGGCGUGCCUAAUACAUGCAAGUCGAGCGAACAGACGAGGAGCUUGCUCCUCUGACGUUAGCGGCGGACGGGUGAGUAACACGUGUAUAACCUACCUAUAAGACUGGGAUAACUUCGGGAAACCGGAGCUAAUACCGGAUAAUAUAUUGAACCGCAUGGUUCAAUAGUGAAAGACGGUUUUGCUGUCACUUAUAGAUGGAUCCGCGCCGCAUUAGCUAGUUGGUAAGGUAACGGCUUACCAAGGCAACGAUGCGUAGCCGACCUGAGAGGGUGAUCGGCCACACUGGAGCUGAGACACGGUCCAGACUCCUACGGGAGGCAGCAGUAGGGAAUCUUCCGCAAUGGGCGAAAGCCUGACGGAGCAACGCCGAGUGAGUGAUGAAGGUCUUCGGAUCGUAAAACUCUGUUAUUAGGGAAGAACAAAUGUGUAAGUAACUAUGCACGUCUUGACGGUACCUAAUCAGAAAGCAACGGCUAACUACGUG
rnacentral:rRNA from 1 species